CUUCUACCCAUUGGGGAUAGGUGAGAGGGAGAUAGAGAGGGGCUUUACCCCUUCCAAGACUACACCCUAUUAUAGGUUGAUGGACCUAGUCCCAGAGGUGAGUUGUCGAGGUUCUUCAAUAAGCUCCACUACCUCUGAAGAGUUUGAAAGUAACAGGGGUAAAAGGUCUUAGAAACUUAGGUGCCAGCUCUAGCGGUCAUACCUAUUGGCCAAGUCCUUCACCUCCAGAGAAAUUGAUAAGAUAAGGGAUCCGAGAAAGGGAAAGAGAGGUAAAAUUCUAAAGCCCUAUCUUCCCAGAUUCAGACAUGAUUAACCGGGAGGGUAAAACGAGGAUUAGAUACCCCCUUAUUCCCGGAUAAGAAUUUCAGGAUUAGGAGGAUUCCUUCUGAAAAUAAAACCCCAUGGCGGUAGAUCAACCUUUUAGAGACGUAUGCCUGUUAAAGGACAAUCCACCGGAAUCUUUCUUCCUAUAAGCCUCUAACACAGCCGUCUGAAGGGGGGGUCUCGAGACCCGCUUCCAACUACCCUCUUAGUUCCUUACAGCUCGGUAGUAAGUCAGGUAGACGUUAGGGAUUAGGAAGUUUAGGUGUACGUCAAUUCUAGCAGAAUUUUUAAGUAUUUCUGAAAGGCUUGCUUCCGGAGGGAAUCUAAAAGUAAGGGCCCUUAACCAGGGGGGUAUGAACCAUAGAAAAGGAUCUAUGUUCAUAUCGCCCGUCACCCGACUCGUAAGAGUCGGAAAGUCGUAACAAAGUUUAUCCACCGGAAGGUGGAUAAGAAAGUAUGUAUAUAUAUA
rnacentral:rRNA from 1 species